AGUAAAAGUCGUAACAAGGUUUCCGUAGGUGAACCUGCGGAAGGAUCAUUAGUGGGGCGGAGCAUAUCGAGUGAGGCCAGUGGGAGGCGUUAGCCGAGCACACGCCGAACGAGAGAUGCGUAGCGGAGCAGUGUGUGGAUUAUAUGGUUUGGUAUGGAGGAUGCUAUGCACCUUCCAGUCAGCCUACGCCCACUGCCUAACCUGCCCUCGCAAGAGGGUGGCUGUAUACAACUCUAGAAUUAACAACUUUAACAAUACAUGACUUUUAACAACGGAUCUCUGGGCUCCCGCAUCGAUGAAGAACGCAGUGAAGUGCGAAACGUAAUGCGAUUUGCAGCAUCUGUGAGUCAUUGAGUCUUUGAACGCACCUGGCACCGAGAGUGAUCUUGGUAUACCCCUUUGAGCGCGGAUUGUAAUAGUUUAUGGAUGGAUGGCACGGAGGGGACUCUGCGCUGAAAGGAGUGUGGGGAGGGUGAUGGUAGAGCCGCAAGGCAGUGCGAAGGCACGCAAUCACCCAGACAGACCCACCAAAUAACGCUUCUCGCCUCAGGGGGGCAGGAUUACCCGCUGAACUUAA
rnacentral:rRNA from 1 species